rnacentral:rRNA from 1 species
AUUGAACGCUGGCGGAAUGCUUUACACAUGCAAGUCGGGCGGCAGCGCGGGGGCAACCCUGGCGGCGAGCGGCGAACGGGUGAGUAACACAUCGGAACGUACCCUGUCGUGGGGGAUAACGGAUCGAAAGAUUCGCUAAUACCGCAUACGACCUGAGGGUGAAAGCGGGGGAUCGCAAGACCUCGCGCGAGAGGAGCGGCCGAUGGCGGAUUAGCUAGUUGGUGGGGUAAAGGCCCCACCAAGGCGACGAUCCGUAGCGGGUCUGAGAGGACGGCCCGCCACACUGGGACUGAGACACGGCCCAGACUCCUACGGGAGGCAGCAGUGGGGAAUUUUGGACAAUGGGGGCAACCCUGAUCCAGCCAUUCCGCGUGAGUGAAGAAGGCCUCGG